rnacentral:lncRNA from 1 species
CAUGUAAGUAAUGACCCCAAAAUGGGCUGAUUUGCAGGAUGACAGGCUGUGGAAACUCUCUUAACACCUCCCAGUUGUGUAGUUUCCCCAAAUCAGUUUUACAUAAAUAUAAAGGUGUGCAAUCUGCCAGUUAAUAUUAAUGUGGUCAUUUGCAGGUGAGUUGAAAUAACAUGACACAUCUGGGACUGGCCUCAUUGACCUCUUUGGUAGUGGUGAUUCAUUAAGUGGUCACUUCUUGAGACAGCAAUAUCUGCUUGAACUGCUAUUAACAUUUUGAGACCUUACCCAGCUUCCUGUGCAGAGCUUGAAGUCUACUCCACGUUCAUCCAGUCAACAUGUUUUGGGGGACACACAUCACAUCCCAGACUCAAUUGCUAAAUAAAGAAUCAAGAUCUCGAACCAAACCUUUCUCCUUUCAGGAUGUUGUGUUAGAAGUGACAUACAGAUAACUUUUCGUAUUCUAUGUGAGCAUCAUUUUCCUUGUGAAAUGUCUUGACGCUCCUUUGGAUGCAUUUCUACCCAACACAGGAUCCCUCACGCACACACGCCUGAUAGACGUUCAUCCAAGCAUGUGCUUAACUGAAUUAACAAGGUUUUAAAAUUGAACAAAGGAAGUCUAGAUCUUAUCAAUCUUUUAGUGUGUAACAUAACUCACCUCUUCUCCCCCUUUCGUAAAUAUGAAGAAUUCAGCUAUAUGAAGAAUUACUUUU